GCGCAGCAGGCGCGAAAACUUCGCACUGUGCGAAAGCACGAUGAGGGAAUCCCAAGUGCUUGCACGUAAGUGUAAGCUGUUUCUCUGUCUAAAACGCAGAGAGAGUAAGGGCUGGGUAAGACGGGUGCCAGCCGCCGCGGUAAUACCUGCAGCUCAAGUGGUGACCGUUAUUAUUGGGCCUAAAACGUCCGUAGCCGGUUUAAUAAAUGCCUGGGUAAAUUGUGUAGCUUAACUAUACGAAUUCCGGGUAGACUGUUAAACUUGAGACCGGGAGAAGUUAGAGGUACUCCUGGGGUAGAGGUGAAAUUCUGUAAUCCUAGGGGGACCACCAGUGGCGAAGGCGUCUAACUAGAACGGGUCUGACGGUGAGGGACGAAGCCCUGGGGCGCAAACGGGAUUAGAUACCCCGUAGU
rnacentral:rRNA from 1 species